rnacentral:lncRNA from 1 species
CACAGACAAAGUGCAACUUUCUGUAGUAGAAGAGUUUGAUUUGGUUUUGGUCUUUAUAGGAGCAUGACUUGGUGCUGCUGAGCAUGUGUUUCUCCUGGACCAGGCUGCUCCAGUUUCAGUAAUAGUGAGAACAGGUGAACUCUCCUGACUUCAGCAGUGACCUACCCAUGACAUCUUUCCUUGAGGCUCGAGCCAGGCUGGUGUUCCUGGAAGAGGCAAACAUGACCUGCAGGCUUUCUAGGUAACAGACGUAAAUCCUGUGGCUUCAGAUGACCUUGACAUCAGCAACAACUGCUCGUGUUGUUGAUUGUCUUGCACAUAUGUGCUUGACACAGGUAUUCAGAUGUUUGAGAUUAGAAGAAAUCCUGGCAGUGGAGGCAGACGGAGUCUGGUGAAUCCGUCGGAGGGUAUGACGCGCUCCGAGGCAGCAGCGAGCACAGACUGGCACUGUGGGAUGGAGUCACAUGAAGCUCUUCAGAAAAACUGAAAGAAAAGGAAAAUCACUUCAUCUCUGACUCCUCCAUUGUGAACAAUCUUUUUAGAUAAUAUAUGAGGCAAGGAGUUUUGCACUGAGAUUACAGAGUCGUCUUUGCUCCCA